CGAAAUUGGUCACCCUUCUUUAACUCCUCAUCAGACCUCAUAUAUGGGUUGUAGAACAUAUCUGAUGAGGGCUCAUCCUCGCCCAAGUUAAGGGUUGUGAAGUGCGCAGGCGGUGAGUAGCGUUGCGCUAUAGGUAUUUGAACUUGGUCUUCGUCUUCAGAAUCACGGUUCACCAAGUCAUCAACCACGUCUUCUGCAUCAUCAACCACAUCGUCUUCAACGUG
rnacentral:lncRNA from 1 species